rnacentral:rRNA from 1 species
CGGCCGAGGAGGAGGGAGGGCGUCGACGGAGCGAGGGAGGGUGCGUGGGCGGAGGGAAGGAGAAGGAGAGGGAGUGGAGAGGGAGGUGGUCCGGAGCGGCGGGGCGGGUGAAGCGGCGUCGGCUGCGGGGAGUCUGCAGCGGCAGCACCGAGUCGGUAGAGGGGCGUGCGAGGAGGGGAAGGGGCGAGGAGGGGAAGAGGUAACGUCGGCGGCGGCGCGGGUAGGGGAAGAGAUGACGUCGGCUGUGCUGCGAGCAUGCCCCUCCUAUCCGCCUGCCUUCGCAAGAGGGAGGCACAACGGCAGCGCCACGGGCGGGCGCCCGCCGAGGGAGAGGAGCGAUCGGGACGGGGCGGAGCGGCGGAGUGGGUGGAGUGGGGCGGCAGGGCGGAGCGGACAGGGCAAGCGUCACCGGCUACGGGGCGCCGGAGCGGGCCGGGGCAGCAGGGUGGGGUGGCAGAGCGGGCGGGGCGAGCAGGGCGAGCGGCACCGGCACCGGCUACUGGCGCCGGGGCAGCAGGGCGGGGCGAGCGGCACCGGCUACUGGCGCGGUGGUCCCCGGCACCGCGUCUGGGUACAGGGGCGCGCCGCCGCCGUCUAGGGAGUAGUGCCUCGGUCGGGAGGGCGGCCACGGUGCGGCGCGGCACUACGGCGACCGAACCUCCGAGCACAAGUCCGUCGGCGGCGCCGCAGCGACCUACGCCACCGUCCGAGAGUCCCCUGGCGAACUGUCCCCCCGGCAGCGCCGAAGGCCACCACGGUUCGGCAUCUAGACUCUGUGGCAAAUGUGAAGCCAAAGCUAAACCACGGAGGUGAGGAGUGGUGGAGAAGGAGAGACUAGAACAAACAAACAUCCGAACCCUAACAUCCAAUAAACAGAAGAGAUAUACAUCUACGAUAACCUAAGUCUGGUAUCAGCUUUCAACCCCCGGAAAACACGAGAGUCCAAACCGAUAUAAGGUUCAUAAUCCUAAAGAGAGUCCAAACCGAUCCAAGGUAUCUACCGGUGUCUCGGAAAACACGAGAGUCCAAACCGAUCUAAGGUUCAUAAACCUAAAAAACCCAGUUACUAGACCGAUCCAACCGAUCCAAGGUUUCGACCGGUGAAGAGACACCGGAAAACACGACGGAACGAACCUGAGCUACCCUCUCUCUAUUCCCAACCCGAUCCAAGGUUUCUACCGGUGAAAAGACACCGGAAAACACUACGGAACGAACCUGAACUACCCUCUCCCUCUUCCCAAAACGAUCCAAGGUUUAUAACCCUAGAAAACCUUCAAUUCCAUGAGUACACGAGAAACAAUAUAACAUUUCGUACAUAUACCCCAUAAGGAGACCAAGUUUUGCUUAUGAUCCAAUGCUAGGAAUGUGAACUUUAAAUAGUAAUAAACCUAUGAGACGCCACAACAAAACAAAUGAUUUAAGAGGUCAAUAAAAGUCAAAGUUAAUCCGAGACACAUCACUAAUAGAGCCGAAAAAGUUGUCGUUGAUAUGGUAGCACUACACAUUAAUGUCUAACAAAAUCACAAUAUUAAACAAGACUGGAGGUACUAAAUAUCAUAACUGUAUAACUCGAACAUACGGGAAAGGUACUUAACUCAAGAUACAUUCAGAACCGUUACGUAACUGUACCAAGACCAUCGGUAAUACUACGUACUACGUGGUGUAACGGUCAAGGAAAGAUAGUGACUAAAAAACUAUUUAGAACGACGUCACUUUGGGUUUCUUACUAUACCGACACUUACUUUUCCCAUGAUAAAUAAUCAGAAUAUCACCGGACUGUACGAUAGCUUAAAAAAAUCAUAGAUUUUUCCGUCUGGUCAAAACGUUACUUACAAAUAUAAAAGGUAAUGUAAACCAGUAUUCUAAAAUGAAACAAAACGGUCCUCUCAAAGUGAAGUACAUCGAUGAUGUGAUCCUCUUAACAUACGAACGCGGCUCCUUUUACAAUACGGCUGGCACCUGUUCACGGGACUUGAGUGGAUACGGGCCAUUAGACCACACUCGGGCGGCACCGGCGGUCCCGCCUCCUUCCGCCGCUCCCCGGGCGGUACCUGGCCAAGCUGGGGCCGCGCGGCGGCGGCAAGCUCGACCGCCUGUGGGUGCGGCGGUAGGGGUUCGUGACGGUCUACGCUAAUAGACGUCCAGUCAGUCGGCACAGUCGGAGUACAUGGGUGGUGCUCUACUUUCUACCUAAACCUCUUCCCUCCCUCGUCCUCCUCUUCUCCUUCUUCUGUGGCAUGGUGGAGGUACGUGGAGGUUAAAGAGAUAGGAAAAGAACGUCUUAUCCCUACCUGUUAACCAGUUAUAUGGCUUGCCUAUGUAAGUGACCUUUACUCCCCGAUAACUACAACACCCGAACUAACCGAAACGUCCAAGGUUGGUCUAACGAAACGUCCAUAAUACGUUCUUAACAAAAGAAAUAAUACUCUUUCGAGUUAUAAAAAAACGACACUUAAUGUAUACAUUCACAAUACACACUAACAAUCUAACAUCGUCUCUAUGAUAUAUGUCCCACAAUUAACAAGUCAAACGAACGAACAACGAAUAGAUGUGUCAAUAUGUCCCACAAUUAACAAGUCAAACGAACGAACAGCGAAUAGAUGUGUCACUACGCAACUAAAUCAAAAAGACGAACGAAUCAACCGAUUAUUCUUGUAUUCACAUGUACUAAUGACGUGAUGUACUAUAGGAUAUCAUAACAACAAGUCACUAUAAUUAGUGUUAAACGUUCUUGUUUCUAUUUACAACCAGGGGAAAAUCGAUUAUCAUCCCUGAGUGACUAAUCAUCGUUUUUUGUCCUAGUUCACGUACGAAUUAAAAGAAAACGUCCAAUUCCUACUCCGGAGUUAAUAAUAAGAAAAUAAUACUAACAACACAUAUCGUACAGGCAAUAAGAGUAGGAUAGACUAACAACUUGACGUGAACUAGUACCAACAAGUAUGAGAAUUAAGGACAGGGGCAGCCUAGCUCGGUGACCUACUGGAGCCGGCAGCCUAGUUUCGGCUCCGUAACAUCCUUACCUAUCAAUGGCAGAGCGCCAUUUUUAGAGCACGUGGUGCGCAUUAAGGACAGGGGGCGGCUCCCGUAAAAGUAGUAGAGUACAUGUACCCAUAUUUUCCCCCCGGUGCGAGCACCAUUUUGGGAUCGGAGGAGAGAGGAGACGAUGUUGGUAGGAGCCACUCGAGGUAGGAGCAGGACGAGGAGAUGAAGCCGAUAACAUACAUUGUACCAACACCGAUAUAACUACACCACGAGCAGACCAACUACGAGAUACGGGAUGAGUACGUAACCAAGGACGAACUCGAGACAUCAACACCUAGGUACGAUAAGAUCCCAAGCGUCCGACAACAAGUACAAGUAAACGAUAGUAUCCUGGAGGACACUACGAGACCAGUUGUACACCCACGGGACCAGGAUAUCGAUACGAGGACCUAAACGAUUUAACUAUUCACUGCAAGCACGAUCCCGCUACUACUAAUUGGCACCUACUUCAUUCACACGGAAACUCGUUAACUCCGUGGACACCCAUAGUUCAACCUAGGAGGAAGAACAGAGAUCUUAGGAAAAACUAGUACACUAUGAAUAACAAGACAGGAACCUACCAGCAAGAAGAACUCACUAUUGGUCCCGUCGAAGCAACAUAUUUGUCUAAUUAGACCACUUUUCUUUGCUACCCCCAUCCAAUAUACUAGCUCCUUUCUACUUAGACUCGGGUGAUAGGUUACUUGGGACUUGGUAAAAAAAUUUAAAUUUCCACAGUAAAUAAAUACGAGGUCACCAAUAUGGGUAUAAUACAUUUAUAAAGAAGAGAGAGUAUGGAAAUAAAGUAUAGUUUCACGACGAAAGUCCACGAUCUAAUUAAACCAGGAACGAAUCGGUAUAUUAGUGUACGGUCUAUCCAGCGUACCAACUAAUCUUUUUCUAGUAAACUCCCAGGUACGCAUAACACCAACAUCAAGACGCUUAGUUUUACAAUAAGAACCAACGAUCUAAUUAAACCAAUAGGUCAGCCGAGGGUCAAAGGUCAAAGAUUAAUAUACUUCUUUACCACAAAAUUACAAUUAAUUAAACAAGCCAUGAAGACAAAAGAUUAAGAAACGAACUACACAAAAGUUAACCCUCGAGAGGUGAGCUUUCUAUGGAGUUGCGGGUCGGUGGAGAAGUGGUGGUGUGCGGUCAGUCGCGUGCUCCGUCGCCUUGACCCAAACAGAAGCAGGUCCCUUCACUUCCGAGUCAAUCACUAAACAGAGCCCGUAAAAGUAGUUUUUCCCUCGUGAACACUCGCCGAUGGUGGUCCUCCACUGGUCAUGUGCUCGUCGACGUAUGCUGUUCUCCUCUCCGUGUGUUUACUGCAUUAUAAGUCGUAAACGUCGUGUAUACAACGUGUAAGACCUCAAACACGGACGUUUCACUUACCCAUCUGGUCGGCUGACAACACUACGCAGGAAGGUUCGCGGAAGGUGGGAGUCACAAGGACAAAGUCAGUGCCGUUUAUAAGCACACAUCUCCGACUAUUUCGGAAAUACGGAACAAACACAAACAUUUAUACGCCUACUAUACAUGUUAGACAACGGCCACAACAAGACUACGAUACAUAAGAUUGUUGAAUACAUGAACCCGAAAAUAGGCUUAGUUAAGUUAACACAUACAGAAAAGU